GCUGCCGCCGCGGCCCCCGCUGCCCACCAGUGUUUUCCUUCCUGGAAGAGAAACCGAAAGGCGGCGCGGGCCCGGCCGGCCGUGCCCCGCCCAUGGAGCCGGAGUUUCGGGGGCCCGAAAGUGACCUUCACAGGCAGAUCAGAGCUCCUUCUGCCACCUCUCCUUCCACCUGGCGCAGAGGGCCAUGGUACUUCAGCUGUGCAGUGCUACCACCCUCUGGCCACUUCAAUUCCACAGUCCUCAAUCUGCAGGAGACUCUGAACUUAGUCGUAUGCCUCCUACAUCUACUCUUGGGUCACCGUGGGUGAAGUUCCCAGCUGGGCAACUGGCAUCCAAAUUGCGCUGGAUGAUUGAUAAAAGAAAUAGGAAUGGCUCCUCAGCCCUUUCAAGAAGAAUUUUGUCCAUUCUAACAGAUGUUCCUGCACAAGUUUGCCAUCACUCUAAAGCAAGUGUGUCAUGGCUGACCAACUGUGUCACCCCUGGGAUCCCCCAGCUGUAUCACUUAGUACCAUACCUGCUAUGGAGAGCAAGGGAGCACAGGCAUCUGGCACACUUCCUACAUAUCAGUCCCACCUGCAGCACCUUGUCACUGGGCCUGUUUGCAUCAGACAGAGCUGCACAAUGUGUAAAGUGCCUUUGUCAGCUAGUAUGGUGGAUUCUGGCUUAUAAUCACUAUGGCUAAAUAGAAAAAAAGCUUGACAAAAUCCACACUGCAUUUUUAAUUGCUGUUGGAAUCGUCAGAACUAACCCAUCCUGUUCCUGUUUCUCUCUUCCUGUUUCUGAUGCCCACACUCAUCAUGCUUGUGCUUGGCAGGGGUUCAGAGCUGCAACUGGAAGCAUCCUGAGGCUUGUGAGAUCUGAGUAACUGCUACUCUGUUGCAAGCCUAACAGCACAGAUCUCUUGGAGAACCACACGAUAUGCUUGAUUUUUAAACCUGUUGUUUUUAAACUAAUAUUUAGAAAUCCAAAAUAAGUUAGCUGUGCUUCCCUAAAGACAGAACUAUUGCAGAAUAAUUGGGGUAGUUUCGAAGCAAAUGUGAAUCCUUAAUCACUUGUGAAUAUUGCACAGCAGUAACAGGCUGUCUUAACAGGAACUUGUGUCCUCCAUCCAACAAAUGCUUGCAGAUCACAGAAAACAACCAAGCCCAAAGUCUAGAAAAACCAUCUCCAGCAAACAGCACGGGGAUUUCAUAAUUAAGCAUAAGUUGUGAAUGCGUGUCAGUAGUCUCAGUUUGGAAAAGAACAUUUCCUCAGUCAACGUAAAACAGUUUCAUGACUGUGAAGAAAGAACUGAAUGGGCAUUUAUUAUUUACUCUCUUAGGAAGAUCAGAAAAUAGGUGAUUAAAAUGUUAUUCGCUGUUUUAAAGUGAUGAUACUUUUGAUCAAAUUAAUAAAAUUCUCAUUACUCACUAU
ensembl:lncRNA